rnacentral:lncRNA from 1 species
UAUUUGGGUUUAGGGUUUAUAUUUGGGUUUAGGGUUUAGUGAAUAUAGUUUAGGGUUUAGUAUUUAGAAGGUGAGGGGAUAUGGUUGUGAUCAGCAUUAACUUCUUCUAUGAAAUCAUAGACAUUUCAUUAUUUCACCAAUAUAAACAAUGCUAUUUAUUUUGUUCUAUUCUAUUUGGGUUUAGAGUUUAUAUUUGGGUUUAGGGUUUAGUGAAUAUGGUUUAGGGUUUGGUAUUUAGAAGGUGAGAGGGUAUAGUUGGGGUCAGCAUUAACUUUAACUUCUUCCAUGAAAUCAUAGAUAUUUCAUAAUUUCACCAAUAUAUAUCAUGAUAUUUAUUUUGUUUCAUUUUAUUUGGGUUUAUGGUUUAUAUUUGAGUUUAGGGUUUAGUGAAUAUGGUGUAGGGUUUAGUGAAUAUGGUUUAGGGUUUAGUAUUUAGAAGAUGAAGGGGUAUGGUUGGGGUCAACAUCAACUUCUUCCAUGAAAUCAUAGACAUUUUAUAGUUUCACCAAUAUAUACCAUGAUAUUUAUUUUGUUCCAUUCUAUUUGGGUUUAUGACUUAUAUUUAGAUUUAUGGUUUAUAUUUGAGUUUAGGGUUUAUUAAUUAGGAUUUAGGGUUUAGCAUUAAGGAUUGUGGUGGGGAUGGGAUAAUGUUUAGUAUAUAGGAGUUGGAGUUGGGGUAAUGUUUAGUAUUAGAGUAUAUGGGUGAGGUUAGAGAUCUGUAUUAUUUCGGUGAAUUAGAAUAGAACACUCAUUGCAUAUGUAUGUGGUCAUAAACGUGUAACGUGGUUUCUUAUAUUCUCUCAGAUGUAAACUAAAUAUUAGUCAUACCUCUAUUUGUCUACGUCAUCUAAUCUUCUAUCCUUCACCUGUUACUUGUACAUGCGAAUGUUAAAACCGGCUCAUUUGAUGCAUAAUUGUUAGUUACUUAAUUAUAUCAAAAUCAAUUACAUGCACUUAAUUUGUCUCCAAACAUGGCUAUUUCACAAAUUUUCCCUUUACAUUUGUGGCAAAAAAUAAAAUAAAUAAUAAUAACUAAAAUACUCACAAAAAUUAAAAC